rnacentral:rRNA from 1 species
AACGAACGCUGGCGGCAGGCUUAACACAUGCAAGUCGAGCGCCCCGCAAGGGGAGCGGCAGACGGGUGAGUAACGCGUGGGAACGUACCUUUUGGUUCGGAACAACUCCGGGAAACUGGAGCUAAUACCGGAUAAGCCCGAACGGGGAAAGAUUUAUCGCCGAAAGAUCGGCCCGCGUCUGAUUAGCUAGUUGGUGAGGUAACGGCUCACCAAGGCGACGAUCAGUAGCUGGUCUGAGAGGAUGAUCAGCCACACUGGGACUGAGACACGGCCCAGACUCCUACGGGAGGCAGCAGUGGGGAAUAUUGGACAAUGGGCGCAAGCCUGAUCCAGCCAUGCCGCGUGAGUGAUGAAGGCCUUAGGGUUGUAAAGCUCUUUUGUCCGGGAAGAUAAUGACUGUACCGGAAGAAUAAGCCCCGGCUAACUUCGUG